rnacentral:rRNA from 1 species
ACGGCUCAGUAACACGUGGAUAACUUGCCCUCAGGUCUGGCAUAACCCCGGGAAACUGGGGAUAAUUCCGGAUAACGCAUAUGUGCUGGAAUGCUUUAUGCGUCAAAGGUCCUCCGCCUGAGGAUGGGUCUGCGGCCUAUCAGGUAGUAGCGGGUGUAAUGUACCUGCUAGCCGACGACGGGUACGGGUUGUGAGAGCAAGAGCCCGGAGAUGGAUUCUGAGACAUGAAUCCAGGCCCUACGGGGCGCAGCAGGCGCGAAAACUUUACAAUGCGGGAAACCGUGAUAAGGGGACACCGAGUGCCAGCAACAUUUGCUGGCUGUCCACGUGUGUAAACUACACGUGUUAGCAAGGGCCGGGCAAGACCGGUGCCAGCCGCCGCGGUAACACCGGCGGCCCGAGUGGUGAUCGUUAUUAUUGGGUCUAAAGGGUCCGUAGCCGGUUUGGUCAGUCUUCCGGGAAAUCUGUCAGCUCAACUGAUAGGCUAUCGGGGGAUACUGCUAGACUUGGAACCGGGAGAGGUAAGAGGUACUACAGGGGUAGGAGUGAAAUCUUGUAAUCCCUGUGGGACCACCUGUGGCGAAGGCGUCUUACCAGAACGGGUUCGACGGUGAGGGACGAAAGCUGGGGGCACGAACCGGAUUAGAUACCCGGGUAGUCCCAGCCGUAAACGAUGCUCGCUAGGUGUCAUGCAUGGUGCGACCGUGUAUGGUGCCGUAGGGAAGCCGUGAAGCGAGCCACCUGGGAAGUACGGCCGCAAGGCUGAAACUUAAAGGAAUUGGCGGGGGAG